rnacentral:tmRNA from 1 species
GGGGGCGUAAAGGUUUCGACGGGGGUGUGGAAGUCGGAUAAGCGAGCCGCUGUUGGCCCAGUCAGCGUUAAACAGAGCCCGUUCAAAAGAAACGAUAAUUCUAGAAACAAUUUCGCAUUCGCAGCUUAAUUAGCUGCCCGCGCGUCGGCCUGAGCUCACCUGCAGGCUGAGGAUCCGGCGUCGACAUGCAGGAAACCUGAGGCGGGGUGUCCGGACCGCAGCAGGGCCAAUUCGGACUGGGGCGACCUUUAGCCUGCCUUUCGGCGACUGGAAACCCGAGACUUAAACGAAAGGCUGCGCUCGGAGAAAGUCGGGUGGAAAUGCUUUCGGACGUGAGUUCGAUUCUCACCGCCUUCACCA